rnacentral:lncRNA from 1 species
AUUUUAACUCUGACAAAUUUAAAGACAGAUUAGAGGAAAUUAGUAAAAAAGUAAAAAAUUUAGAAAAAAAUCCAACUUUUUGUGAACUAGAUUACAGAAUAACCCUAAAAGAAAUUUUAGAUGCUAUAAAUAAACUAAUGAAUAAUAAAGCUGCAGGAUUGGAUGGUAUUCCAAAUGAGAUAUUAAAAUCUGGGGGAAGUAUAUUUGCACCUGUUUUGCAGAAACUUUUUAAUUUAGUAUUCUACUCUGGAAAAUACCCUCACAAAUGGGCAUUAUCUUAUUUAUGUCCAAUUUUUAAAGCAGGGAGUCCUAGUAAACCUGAAAAUUACAGAGGCAUAGUAAUAAAUUC